AUGCGGCUUACAGGAGCUGCACGGCUCUGCCGUGGACAGCGGCCUGUGUCGCGGCAGCACCCGAGCCCUUCACGUGGCCAGCGUCUCCGGCGUCCGGGGAGCAGCGGACAUCGGGCUGGGGCUCGUCCUGCCUCUUGCCUGCCCCCCAGCCCCCUCACGAUCUGCCCUCUGGUGGCUGUCGGCGGAGCGCCGAGCACUGCUGGCACCUGUCAGGCCCGGGAGUGGCUUCGGACAGCCCUGGCACCGGGAGGCCGUUCCCGCUCUAUCUCGGCUCUGCAGCUGCUGCCCCCGAUCCGUCAGGAUGAGCUGCCCAGGACGCGUUCUUCCUUAAUCUCUCCCUGUCACCCGUGUGCGCACGCGCCCAACACACGCACCACAAUGGGGAGAACUUCAUUCGGCUUCCGGCCAAGCCUCAGAAAAUCCCUUUCAGAACAGCUGUUCUGUCCACUGCAAAGUGUGCUGUCCCUCCGUGCAGAGGGACAGGGCUGCGUGUCCACGAGGCCUUCUCAGCAGCUGUCCGUGUGUGCGUCUGCGUGUGAGGCCCAUGAGGAGGGGACCCCCCCCCCAGCCAGGACGGGGACUGAGGGAGGCUGAGGGAUCGCACGUCCUCUCCUGCGGCCGCGCUGAAGUCCGGGGAUGCGCUACACCCUGCUUCGGGGCCGCCCAGGGCUCUCCCACCACGCGUGCAGACGCCCUGACUCCUACAGCUGGUGCACGUCACGUGACACCCGUCACGAAGCACCCGGGCAGCCAAGUGUCUCUGGGAGGUAGAGAGGUGGAGCAGGUGCCACUGUCAGCCAGGAAGAUGACCAGUGAUGGCCACGGGCCAGCUGAGGCGACGGCAGAGUGGCAGCAAGGAGGAAGCCGCGUGUGACAGCCGAGCUAGUGCUUAGCGAGCCCUAGGGACGCUCUCGUCACAGUGACCUCCAGUGUCCCCCAGCCACUGUCCUUUCUCCAGGCCCAGACAAGACGCGUGAGGGAUUUUCUGCCCCCAGAUGCCGCCGCUGGUCUGCUCAGCGAAUUUCCCCAACCGGAAGACACCAGCUCUGCACACUGGAGACCUGCGGGACCGAGCUGCUGCGUGCCCCUUCUGCUGGUGGCUGCCUCUCCGUGUGUUCAAGGGAACGGCAGCAGGAAAUUGCUCACUUCCUUCUGAGCUGCGGAGGGCGCACAGGGCAACCCCGGCCGUCGGAGCAGGUGUCCUGGAGGCUCCUGCUCCCCGCAUGGACCCGCCCUGCACAGAGCCACGGCCCCCUCCUCCCUCGAGCCGUCUCUCCCUCGUGGGGCUGCUGCAGUGGGAGACGGCCCCCCCUCAGCAGCAUGGAGGCCACACUGUGUCCCCGAGACGGUGAGAGAACACUGGCUCCACAGCGACUCAACAGGGCCCAGAGGGCGGGGAACCACCCUGGCUUCUCAGCCCAGGAAACAGGCCCAGUGUGGCUGUGCCCGGCCUGCCCCACCCCAGGCACCAGCAGCCACGGUGGAGAUAGAAGUUCAUGAAACCAGCCCUGGGGACAGCUGCAGCUUCCGGGAAGUCCUGCAUCCACAGCUCCGCCCACGUGGGGAGUGGCUCCGCCCACCCAGGGAGCCCCCUCCCCCCCCCCCAUCAGCCCAGCACACAGGGCCUCAGAGAGGAGACACUGCCC
ensembl:lncRNA